GGAUGUGAGGGCGAUCCGGCUGUGACAUCUGUCGCCCCAGUGAUCACCAGGGUUGAUGCGGAUGAUCUGGCUGGCUAGGUGGGUGUCUUCUUCCCUCACCUCUCCAUGUGCGUCCCUCCCGAAGCUGCGUGCUCAGUGGAAGAGAAUGAUCAUCCCAGAUAGAAGGAGUAUACCGUUCUUUGGUCAAAGGUAUAAGAUAGCUGCGCUCCCCUGCUAGAACCUCCAAACAAGCUCAAGGUCCAUUUGCAGAAAGCAUGAAAUAGGCAAUUUUAUCAAGAUUCUAUGAACUACUGAAAUUCUUUAAGAAGAAUUC
rnacentral:snRNA from 1 species